AACGCGAAGAACCUUACCUGGGCUCGAAGCGCAGUGGACCGGGGUAGAAAUAUCCCUUUUCGCAAGAACCGCUGCGGAGGUGCUGCAUGGCUGUCGUCAGCUCGUGUCGUGAGAUGUUGGGUUAAGUCCCGCAACGAGCGCAACCCUUACCCUUAGUUGCCCGCCCGCAAGGGAGGCACCCUAAGGGAACUGCCUCGGAUAACGAGGAGGAAGGUGGGGAUGACGUCAAGUCCUCAUGGCCUUUAUGCCCAGGGCUACACACGUGCUACAAUGGCCGGUACAAAACGUCGCAAACCCGCGAGGGGGAGCCAAUCGCCAAAAACCGGUCUCAGUUCGGAUUGCAGGCUGCAACUCGCCUGCAUGAAGCUGGAAUCGCUAGUAAUCGCGUAUCAGAACGACGCGGUGAAUACGUUCCCGGGCCUUGUACACACCGGUACUA
rnacentral:rRNA from 1 species